rnacentral:lncRNA from 1 species
GAUAAUUAUACACGGCAUAGUUCAUGAAAUCUCGGCGCUUUGGUCCACCUUGAUGUCUUGGCUCAAGCCUCCUUAUCUAUAUGUCAUCAUCAACGGAAUAAUCAUCAUCGCCGCUGCUUCGUCUAGCUUCCACCAGAGAGGAUCUAAGCAGUUCGGCGGCAAUGGUUUAUGAGAGUGAAGGUGCAGCCGUCGAGGUAAAGCACGUGGUGGUGAAUGAUUCUGAGGUUAUGGAAAAUGACAACGUUGCAGAAGAUGAAG